rnacentral:rRNA from 1 species
CGGCUCGUAAACCCCUGUCAUUUGCGAACAAAACCUUAUGGUUUAACAGGUCAUAAGCUGAUUGUAGCGAAAGAAGGAAGGGACGGCUAACUCUGUGC